AGCUUUGUGCAGUGGCAAUAUUGUAGCCAGUGAGGUUUGUCCGAGGCGCGAUUAUUGCUAAUUGAAAACUUUUCCCUGCCGUGAUGACUUGAAAUAUAGUCGGCAUUGGCAAUUUUUGACAGUCUCUAUGGAUA